AUGGUAAUGUUACCAUCUAUAAAGCUUGACUUGUCUGUUGUUGCUAAGGGUUAUCGGCAAGUUCAAGGGGUUGACUGCGAUGAGACUUUCUCUCCCGUAGCAAAGCUGAAGUCCGUCCGAAUCAUGUUAGCAAUUGCCACAUACUAUGAUUAUGAGAUAUGGCAAAUGGACGUCAAAACGGCAUUCCUUAACGGCUAUCUUAAGGAAGAAUUGUAUAUGAUGCAGCCGGAAGGUUUUGUCGAUCCUAAGAAUGCUAACAAGGUAUGCAAGCUCCAACGAUCCAUUUAUGGGCUGGUGCAAGCAUCUCGGAGUUGGAACAUUCGCUUUGAUGAGAUGAUCAAAGCGUUUGGGUUUAUGCAGACUUAUGUAGAAGCCUGCGUUUACAAGAAAGUGAGUGGGAGCUCUAUAGCAUUUCUCAUAUUAUAUGUAGAUGACAUACUUUUGAUGGGAAAUGAUAUAGAACUUUUGGACAGCAUAAAGGCCUACUUGAAUAAGUGUUUUUCAAUGAAGGACCUUGGAGAAGCUGCUUAUAUAUUAGGCAUCAAGAUCUAUAGAGAUAGAUCGAGACGCCUAGGUCUUUCACAAAGCACAUACCUUGAUAAGAUAUUGAAGAAGUUCAAUAUGGAUCAGUCCAAGAAGGGUUUCUUUCCUGUGUUGCAAGGUGUGAAAUUGAGCUCGGCUCAAUCCCCGACCACGGUAGAAGAUAGAGAAAAGAUGAGUGUCAUUCCCUAUGCCUCGGCCAUAGGGUCUAUUAUGUAUGCCAUGUUGUGUACCAAACCUGAUGUAAACCUUGCCGUAAGUUUGGUAGCUAGGCACCAAAGUAAUCCCGGCAUGGAACACUGGACAGCGGUCAAGAAUAUCCUGAAGUAG
rnacentral:rRNA from 1 species